rnacentral:rRNA from 1 species
GGUCCAGACUCCUACGGGAGGCAGCAGUGGGGAAUUUUGGACAAUGGGGGCAACCCUGAUCCAGCCAUGCCGCGUGAGUGAAGAAGGCCUUCGGGUUGUAAAGCUCUUUCAGCCGGGAAGAAAAUGCAUGGGUUAAUACCCUGUGCAGAUGACGGUACCGGAAUAAGAAGCACCGGCUAACUACGUGCCAGCAGCCGCGAUAAUACGUAGGGUGCGAGCGUUAAUCGGAAUUACUGGGCGUAAAGCGUGCGCAGGCGGUUUUGUAAGACGGGCGUGAAAUCCCCGGGCUUAACCUGGGAACUGCGUUUGUGACUGCAAGGCUAGAGUACGGCAGAGGGGGGUGGAAUUCCACGUGUAGCAGUGAAAUGCGUAGAGAUGUGGAGGAACACCAAUGGCGAAGGCAGCCCCCUGGGUCGAUACUGACGCUCAUGCACGAAAGCGUGUAGCAAACAGGAUUAGAUACCCUGGUAGUCCACGCCCUAAACGAUGUCAACUAGGUGUUGGGAGGGUAAAACCUUUUAGUACCGUAGCUAACGCGAGAAGUUGACCGCCUGGGGAGUACGGCCGCAAGGUUAAAACUCAAAGGAAUUGACGGGGACCCGCACAAGCGGUGGAUGAUGUGGAUUAAUUCGAUGCAACGCGAAAAACCUUACCUACCCUUGACAUGUCAGGAACUUUCCAGAGAUGGAUUGGUGCCCGAAAGGGAACCUGAACACAGGUGCUGCAUGGCUGUCGUCAGCUCGUGUCGUGAGAUGUUGGGUUAAGUCCCGCAACGAGCGCAACCCUUGUCGUUAAUUGCCAUCAUUCAGUUGGGCACUUUAACGAGACUGCCGGUGACAAACCGGAGGAAGGUGGGGAUGACGUCAAGUCCUCAUGGCCCUUAUGGGUAGGGCUUCACACGUCAUACAAUGGUCGGUACAAAGGGUCGCCAACCCGCGAGGGGGAGCUAAUCCCAUAAAGCCGAUCGUAGUCCGGAUUGUAGGCUGCAACUCGCCUGCAUGAAGUCGGAAUCGCUAGUAAUCGUGGAUCAGCACGUCACGGUGAAUACGUUCCCGGGUCUUGUACACACCGCCCGUCACACCAUGGGAGCGGGUUCCGCCAGAAGUAGGUAGCCUAACCGCAAGGGGGGCGCUUACCACGGCGGGGUUCGUGACUGGGGUGAAGUCGAAACAAGGUAGCCGUAGAGGAACCUGCGGCUG